UUAUAGCUCAGUCAGUAGAGCAUAAGACUCUUAAUCUCAGGGUCGUGAGUUCAAGCCCUAUGUUGGGUGAAAAA